rnacentral:rRNA from 1 species
GACGAACCGUGCGAACGUUGUUCGGAAUCACUGGGCUUAAAGGGUGAGUAGGCGGUCUGCCAAGUCUGGGGUGAAAUCCUUCGGCUCAACCGGAGAACGGCCUCGGAUACUGGUGGUCUCGAGGGAGGUAGGGGCGUGCGGAACUCAGGGUGGAGCGGUGAAAUGCGUUGAUAUCCUGAGGAACUCCGGUGGCGAAGGCGGCACGCUGGGCCUCUUCUGACGCUGAAUCACGAAAGCCAGGGGAGCAAACGGG